rfam:Schistosoma haematobium scaffold1062_7, whole genome shotgun sequence.
AUCCAGCAGACGAAUCCUAAAUAGGACGAAACCCGCCUCCUGGAU